rnacentral:rRNA from 1 species
AUCGAGUUUAUCAGAGACUGUCGGUGGCCUUCAGUAGUUCAACUGUCAGAAGUGAAGUUCUUGGUUGAGUGGAGGUCUUACUGGUGCGAAAGGGGUAUGGCCAACGAUGUGUUCUUUCCUCAGGAAUGAAAGUUAUGGGAUCGCAGUCCGAUCAGAGUCCGUCAUAGUCUGAUGCAUACUAUAUGCCGAGUAGGCAUCGGACGCUGUUAUUUCAUGACCCGUUCCGGCGCCUCGCGAGAAAUCAAAGCGCUGCGGGCUCCAGUGUGGAGUAUGGUCGCAGGGGCUGAAACUUAAAGAAAAUGACGGAAGGGUGUCAACAGGGGGGGAAGCCUGCGGCUUAAUCUGACUCAACACGGGGAAACUCACCAGGUCCAGACACAAUAAGGAUUGACAGAUUGAGAGCUCUUUCUUGAUUUUGUGGGUGGUGGUGCAUGGCCGUUCUUAGUUGGUGGGGUGACUUGUCGGCUUAAUUGCGAUAACGAACGAGAUCUUAACCUGCUAAAUAGCCUGCCUUGCUCCGUCAGUGCGCUGGCUUCUUAGAGGGACUUUCGGCUCAAGCCGAAGCAAGUUUGAGGCAAUAACAGGUCUGUGAUGCCCUUAGAUGUUCUGGGCGCCACGCGCGCUACACUGACGGGGUCAGCGAGUUCCUUGGCCGAAAGGCCCGGGUAAUCUUGUUAGCACCCGUCGUGCUGGGGAUAGAGCAUUGCAAUUAUUGCUCUUCAACGAGGAAUCCCUAGUAAGCGCAAGUCAUCAGCUUGCGUUGAUUACGUCCCUGCCCUUUGCAAUCACCGCCCGUC